rnacentral:rRNA from 1 species
AUUAAACGCUGGCGGCAUGCCUUACACAUGCAAGUCGAACGGCAGCACGGGGGCAACCCUGGUGGCGAGUGGCGGACGGGUGAGUAAUACAUCGGAACGUGCCCUGGAGUGGGGGAUAACGCAGCGAAAGCUACGCUAAUACCGCAUAUUCUGUGAGCAGGAAAGCAGGGGAUCGCAGGACCUUGCGCUUUGGGAGCGGCCGAUGUCGGAUUAGCUAGUUGGUGGGGUAAAGGCCUACCAAGGCGACGAUCCGUAGCGGGUCUGAGAGGAUGAUCCGCCACACUGGAACUGAGACACGGUCCAGACUCCUACGGGAGGCAGCAGUGGGGAAUUUUGGACAAUGGGCGCAAGCCUGAUCCAGCCAUGCCGCGUGAGUGAAGAAGGCC